rnacentral:rRNA from 1 species
GACAGAGGGUGCGAACGUUGUUCGGAAUUACUGGGCGUAAAGCGCGUGUAGGCUGUUCGGAAAGUCGGGUGUGAAAGCCCUGGGCUCAACCUAGGAAGUGCACUCGAAACUCCCGAACUGGAGUCCCGGAGAGGAAGGUGGAAUUCUCGGUGUAGAGGUGAAAUUCGUAGAUAUCGAGAGGAACACCGGCGGCGAAAGCGGCUACCUGGACGAGGACUGACGCUGAGAUGCGAAAGCGUGGGGAGCAAACAGG